CACGUAGGGCGCAAGCGUUGUCCGGAAUUAUUGGGCGUAAAGAGCUCGUAGGCGGUCUGUUGCGUCCGCUGUGAAAACUCGGGGCUUAACUCGGAAAGGUCAACUGAUACUGUGCGACUAGAGUGCGGAAGGGGCAACUGGAAUUCUCGGUGUAGCGGUGAAAUGCGUAGAUAUCGAGAGGAACACCUGCGGCGAAGGCGGGUUGCUGGGCCGACACUGACGCUGAUGCGCGAAAGCCAGGGGAGCGAACCGG
rnacentral:rRNA from 1 species